CCUUUCUUCUUCUUCUUGCCGUGAACCUAUUCUCUCCUCUCUCUCAUUUUUCUUUUCCUUUCUUCCAUUAAAGCUCUCUUUGAGCUUUUGAAACCACAAAAUUAACCAUAAAUUUCAUAAAUUCCUUCAUUAAACCUUAUUUUUGAAGCUUGAUAAAACUAUUGAUAACAAAAAGAAGAGGAAAGAAAGGAGAUUUGAAAAAGAAAAAUUCAACAAAAGAGAUAGAGAAAAAGACAUAGUAGCAGAGUGAGCUGCUACAGUCAGAGAGGAGCACAAUUAAAGAAUUUUUAUACGGAUCUUUGUCUAUGCCCUGAUAGUUUAGUUUGAUAUAAAUAUGAUAGUAUGUAUAUGUAUCUCUGUAGUUUGAGUAGUUGUACAGAUAAAAUUGUAAUAAUAUUAUUUUAGAUUUUCUUUCUGUAUAUUAAGAUUGUGUAUGUAAAAUUAAUUUUAAUGCCACAUUUAUGAAUGAAAUUAUUUUAACAAUAUUUUGAAAAGUGAA